GACGAACGCUGGCGGCGUGCUUAACACAUGCAAGUCGAACGAAGUGGCGAACGGGUGAGUAACGCGUAAUCAACCUGCCCUUCAGAGGGGGACAACAGUUGGAAACGACUGCUAAUACCGCAUACUGAAGGAGGGGAUUGCGUCUGAUUAGCUAGUUGGAGGGGUAACGGCCCACCAAGGCGAUGAUCAGUAGCCGGUCUGAGAGGAGUGACGUCCACAUUGGGGCUGAGACACGGCCCCUACUCCUACGGGAGGCAGCAGUGGGGGAUCUUCCGCAAAGGGCGGAAGUCUGACGGAGCAACGCCGCGUGAGUGUUGGCGGCCUUCGGGUUGUAAAGCUCUGUUAAUCAGGACGCGGUACCGGAAUAGAAAGCCACGGCUAACUACGUGCCAGCAGCCGCGGUAAUAC
rnacentral:rRNA from 1 species